AUUGAACGCUGGCGGCAUGCCUUACACAUGCAAGUCGAACGGUAACAGGUCUUCGGAUGCUGACGAGUGGCGAACGGGUGAGUAAUACAUCGGAACGUGCCCGAUCGUGGGGGAUAACGAGGCGAAAGCUUUGCUAAUACCGCAUACGAUCUACGGAUGAAAGCGGGGGAUCUUCGGACCUCGCGCGGACGGAGCGGCCGAUGGCAGAUUAGGUAGUUGGUGGGAUAAAAGCUUACCAAGCCGACGAUCUGUAGCUGGUCUGAGAGGAUGAUCAGCCACACUGGGACUGAGACACGGCCCAGACUCCUACGAGAGGCAGCAGUGGGGAAUUUUGGACAAUGGGCGAAAGCCUGAUCCAGCCAUGCCGCGUGCAGGAUGAAGGCCUUCGGGUUGUAAACUGCUUUUGUACGGAACGAAAAGCCUCUUUCUAAUAAAGAGAGGUCAUGACGGUACCGUAAGAAUAAGCACCGGCUAACUACGUG
rnacentral:rRNA from 1 species